ensembl:snRNA U6 U6 spliceosomal RNA
GUGCUCGCUUCAGCAACACAUAUACUAAAAUUGGAACGAUACAGAAAAGAUUAGUGUGGCCCCUGCACAAGUAUGACACGCAAAUUCGUGAAGUGUUCCAUAUUUUU